rnacentral:lncRNA from 1 species
AUGACGGACGUCUGCUCCAUCCUCGGCCGCGCUGCCUGUGGGAGGCGGGGGCUGCGGCCAGUCCCCCCCCCUCCCUCCAGGUUUUCGCCGAUGGCGCCAGCAGACGUCGCCCCUUCCUUCCUCGGCGGGCACAUUGCAGCCGAUAACGCAGCCCGAGAGACCAGGGCCGCACUUCAAACACGGAUCGGCAUCGGGAGAGGCCCCGGCUUUGAGGACGGGCAGGACGGCCGAGACGAGUGGGGCGUGCGGUCAGAACCCAGAGGUAGCGUGAGUCACGGCAGCGGGCGACGGUGCCUCAACGCGGAGAAGCAGCCGGUGGAGGGGGGCAUGUCGGUGGGAGACGAGGUGACAAGAAGGGCUGGGGGGAGGUCAAGGUGAGGUCAGGGUCAGGGCAGCCCCACCCCUGCUCGCUCACUGACCUCAGCAGGUUACUUCUCCUGGGAAGCGCCAUUCAAAGUGCUAUUUAGAGGGCUAAAUCAUUGAUUAUAUGCAAAACAUACAUUUUGUGAACUUCAAAGCACUUAAUAAACACAAGGUAUAAGUCUUUUAAGUCUAGGAA